CUCCUCCCCUCCCACUUUUGGCCCCCUCUUCCCACUUUCUUCCCCCGCCUCCCCUCUGGCUUUGCUGCCUCUCCUCCCCCCCCCCCACCCUCCGUCCCCCGCGCGCUCUUUCCUCCUUGGAAAUGAUAUCUCCCCUCACCACGAUCCAUGAAUCAACCGCUGCCACCUCAUUGGUCCCCAAACCAUUCCAAGGUUCCAGCAUAAAACCGGGAAAUGAGAAAAGGAAGGUGGACACGGUCCUGGGAAACUGUCUUGUCUGAGGAGCGUUUUGGCGAGAGUGCUAUGCCUUGGCACUGCGUCUUCAACCCCCAACGUUCCCCUCUCCAAGUCUCGCCCACCCUGGAAGACUUAGCCAAGGAGUAAAGGGGCAGGGUUGGGUUUUUUUGUUUUGUUUUGUUUUUGUUUAUUUGUUUGUUUGUUUGUUUUUAUUUUUUGUUUUUUCUUUUUUUUGUUUUUUUUUUUUUGUUUUUUUAACCCAGAAUGUUUUGUGCUCCUGGGUGGGUGGCGCUAGAGAUUUGGGUCUGAAAUGACAGUUGGUUAAUUCAGCCGUGUACCCUGGACCCUGUGAUGAUAGUAACUUUACUCCUAGCACACCUUAUGGAGGACGCACAGUAAUGCCUGCAGCGGAGGGUGAGCACCUCUUUUCUAUUUCUGAAACAAAAUACAGGAAGAACAGAAGCACCCAUAGCAACCUUGGCUCUCUGUUGCCCUCUUGGAAAGCUUUAAAUAGCUUUGGACAAAUUUCUGUUCCAGGAUUGGGAAAGGAUUUGAAGAGUGUUAAAGGAAAGCCAUCGUGGGUUACAUUCUUGUUCCAGGACAUGGCUGCUUGCUUGAGGUUGUCCAAAUGAGAGUGCGAAGGAAAGACUGAGUUCCCGUCAAAUUAGGGUUCAUCUUGCUCCUCUUUCAGCCAGUUCUCAAAGAUGUCUUCCCCAGGUUUUGACUAAAGAGCGAAGCAUAUGAUCACACAACUCUGCCAUGUGUUUACUGUAACUUAUCAUGGCUAAGUACUGCACGGAAAGUGGCUUCACAAUUUUUAAAAAUACAUAUCCUCUGGUAGAAAAUAUGAAAUCGGAUGACAUCAUACGCCACUAAAAAUACUUUAGAAUAUUGGUUUUAAUUUUCUCACAUCUGGUUAGAAUAAAACUUCUUUUUUCCUGGUGUAAACUCUGAG
ensembl:lncRNA